rnacentral:rRNA from 1 species
UGCCAGCCGCCGCGGUAAUACAGAGGGUGCAAACGUUGUUCGGAAUCACUGGGCAUAAAGCGCACGUAGGCGGCCCGUUAAGUGUGGAGUGAAAUCCCACGGCUUACCCGUGGAACUGCUCUGCAUACUGGCGAGCUCGAGGACGGUAGGGGAGAGCGGAACUCUUGGUGGAGCGGUGAAAUGCGUAGAUAUCAAGAGGAACACCGAUGGCGAAGGCAGCUCUCUGGUCCGUUUCUGACGCUGAGGUGCGAAAGCUAGGGUAGCGAACGGGAUUAGAUA